rnacentral:rRNA from 1 species
CGGACGGGUGAGUAACGCGUGGAAAACCUGCCGUAUACUGGGGGAUAACACUUAGAAAUAGGUGCUAAUACCGCAUAAGCGCACAGCUUCGCAUGAAGUGGUGUGAAAAACUCUGGUGGUAUACGAUGGUUCCGCGCCUGAUUAGCUUGUUGGUGGGGUAAUGGCUCACCAAGGCGACGAUCAGUAGCCGGCCUGAGAGGGUGAACGGCCACAUUGGGACUGAGACACGGCCCAAACUCCUACGGGAGGCAGCAG